rnacentral:lncRNA from 1 species
AGAGACUGAAAGAGAUAGAGAAUUUCAGGGUACAAGAGGAUAAGACAAAGGCAGAAAAAUAUGAAAGAAAAACAGGACAGAAGACAUGGGGGAACACAGAUAUGGAGAGUGUGCAACAGGACAAAGAGAGGGUCCAGAGAAAGUUGGAGCCUGCUGUCCCUGUGCUAAAAGUCAGGGUCAUUGAGUGCAAGCCCAGGACGAAACCAGACCUGACACCUGAGUAUGGACUCGAGCCCAAGGAUGUCCCAGCACCCAGGCCCAGGGCUGAGAAGGCAGACAUGGAGCUGCAGGACAUUGAGGAUGAGGAGUGUGAGGAUGAAGAGUUGGCUCUCAUGGGCAACAAUAACAUUGUGCGUUCCUCAGAUCUGGAAGAAGCCCAGCAUGAGCUUCAAAAGGAGGCCAGGCGUAGAGGACAGGCCGAAGCCAUCGAGAAAUGUUACAGACACAAUGAUGAGGAAAUAUUAUCAGGCUCAAGUAAUAUUAGUAAAGAAGACAGUGCACCACCUAUGAAUGUUGCCAAUAGUAUGACUAAUGGAGAUAUGGAGGGAGGAACCUGUUCCUCAAACAGUAAUGAGGCAGAUGAGAGAACUACCAAAGUGGACAGCGUGACUGGGAAAGUGAUUGGCUGGGUGAACAAAAAAGUCAAAGAGAGAAACGAGAGAAAGAUUGCAAGAACAUACUGGAGGGAGGAGACUCAAAGUGAUCAGUUGUACAUAAACGGUGUAGUGAUUUGCAGCCGUGCCCAGCGAGAGAGAGAAAAGAGGGCAAAACUCCUCAAAGGUGAGCAAACGAGACGGAGGCUGGAAAGACGCUGGCAAGAGUGGGAGAAGAGAGACAGAAGAAAGAACACGCUGAAGAGGGUACAGAGAAAUGGGCUCUGGUACAGGGAGUUGGAGGACAAGAACAGCAGCCAGGGUAGUCAUGAGGACAACUCACUGCCUGAUGAAGCAGAUGAGGCUGACGGUGAUGAAGAGGUGGAAUACCUUUUAAUGUAUGGGCCCUGCGACUGCGAACUCUGCAGGGACGGAUACAAAUGUCUCUGGUACAGUUAUGACAAGGAGGAGACAGACCCCAAGGAGGCUAGGAGCAAGAGGAGGAGGAUAAUCAAUUGGAUCAAUACAAGAGUCAAAGAAGAUUAUCGCAAGAGAAUCAACACAACCUUUAACAUCCAGAGUUUAGUAUGCAAUGAUUAUGCCAUUUACGGAAACGCCAUCCUUCGCCAAUGGGACCUACAGAAGAUCAUAAGGCGGGAACUCAUAAAAAAGGAGGAGAGGAGACAAAGGCUGGAGAAGCGCUGGAAGGAGUGGGAGAAAGCGAGGGCUCAGAAGAUAAAAACAAUUCUUCAGGAGAAGAAGGCAAAGGAACAGGCCAGGCUCAAUAGGCUGAUAGACCUGAAUCUAGAGGCAGACCAGAAGAUCAAGGAGUUCAUUGCUGCCAAUCCAGGAAUCCAGUCCCAGUACCCUGGAGGUCAUACCAGGCUGGAGAUGAUGGGACGUUGGGACAUGGGCUACCAGAGGGAGGAGACUCAGGGCCAGGGGUGCAGAGUAGGACCUGCUACUGUACAGAAGUCCACUGCACCUCUGCGGACCAAGAAAAUAACCAAAUGGCAGAAGUUGCAAAAAUGGUUUUACAUGAUCCAACUGUGAAAAGUCCAGCCCCAGAAUGAUCAUAUGAAAGUUAUUUCCUAAUAAAUAUUUUGGAAGUAAAAUGAAAAUCCAAACGGAAUCAAUUAUAUACUGAUCCUAUCAGAUAUGAUUCCCUCAUAAUAUGGUACAUUGUUAUUUCAAAAC